AUUGAACGCUGGCGGCAUGCCUUACACAUGCAAGUCGAACGGUAACGGGCCUUCGGGUGCCGCCGAGUGGCGUACGGGAGAGUAAUACAUCGGAACGUGCCCGAUCGUGGGGGAUAACGAGGCGAAAGCUUUGCUAAUACCGCAUACGAGCUAUGAUUGAAAGCAGGGGACUGCAAGGCCUUGCGCGGACGGACCGGCCGAUGGCAGAUUAGGUAGUUGGUGGGAUAAAAGCUUACCAAGCCGACGAUCUGUAGCUGGUCUGAGAGGAUGAUUAGCCACACUGUGACUGAGACACGGCCCAGACUCCUACGGGAAGCAGCAGUGGGGAAUUUUGCACAAUGGGCGCAAGCCUGAUCCAGCCAUGCCGCGUGAAGGAUGAAGGCCUUCGGGUUGUAGAAUGCUUUUGUAAGGAACGAAAAGCCUUCUUUUAAUACAGGAGGGUCAUGACGGUACCGUAAGAAUAAGCACCGGCUAACUACGUG
rnacentral:rRNA from 1 species